rnacentral:rRNA from 1 species
AUUGAACGCUGGCGGCAUGCCUUACACAUGCAAGUCGAACGGUAACAGGUCUUCGGAUGCUGACGAGUGGCGAACGGGUGAGUAAUACAUCGGAACGUGCCUAGUAGUGGGGGAUAACUACUCGAAAGAGUGGCUAAUACCGCAUGAGAUCUACGGAUGAAAGCAGGGGAUCGCAAGACCUUGUGCUACUAGAGCGGCCGAUGGCAGAUUAGGUAGUUGGUGGGAUAAAAGCUUACCAAGCCGACGAUCUGUAGCUGGUCUGAGAGGACGAUCAGCCACACUGGGACGGAGACACGGCCCAGACGCCUACGGUAGGCAGCAGUGGGGAAUUUUGGACAAUGGGCGCAAGCCUGAUCCAGCAAUGCCGCGUGCAGGAUGAAGGCCUUCGGGUUGUAAACUGCUUGUGUACGGAACGAAAAGCCCUGGGUUAAUACCCUGGGGUCAUGACGGUACCGUAAGAAUAAGCACCGGCUAACUACGUGCCAGCCGCCGCGGUAA